rnacentral:rRNA from 1 species
GACGAACGCUGGCGGCGUGCUUAACACAUGCAAGUCGAACGGAAAGGCCCUGCUUUUGUGGGGUGCUCGAAUGGCGAACGGGUGAGUAACACGUGAGUAACCUGCCCUUGACUUUGGGAUAACUUCAGGAAACUGGGGCUAAUACCGGAUAGGAGCUCCUGCUGCAUGGUGGGGGUUGGAAAGUUUCGGCGGUUGGGGAUGGACUCGCGGCUUAUCAGCUUGUUGGUGGGGUAGUGGCUUACCAAGGCUUUGACGGGUAGCCGGCCUGAGAGGGUGACCGGCCACAUUGGGACUGAGAUACGGACCAGACUCCUACGGGAGGCAGCAGUGGGGAAUAUUGCACAAUGGGCGGAAGCCUGAUGCAGCAACGCCGCGUGCGGGAUGACGGCCUUCGGGUUGUAAACCGCUUUCGCCUGUGACGAAGCGUGAGUGACGGUAAUGGGUAAAGAAGCACCGGCUAACUACGUG